GCAGACAUAACAGCCGAACAAACUUCCUACAAUGGAAAUCAAAUAUUGUUUGGGAAGCUCUUCCCAACACUGUUGUAGAUGUUCCCACAAAUGUGUUUCACUUGUAGGUUGCUUUGUUUUCACCCCAGAGCUAUAGAGAGAGAGAGUUACGACACGCUAUGAUCUCGCCGACAGGGUGGUCACGUGGUUAUCACGGGGUUCAUGUAAGCCUCAAUAGAUCCAAAGACCAAACACGCCGCGCUGUCAAUGUUAUUCUAUGGGACGACAGCAGAGAUUUCAAUAUUGAAUGAUCAAUGGUCAUACCAUGGUUGGCUGUGCAGCGUUUGGAUGCUCCAAUCGGUCCGAGAAGGGUUACCACAUGUAUGGCUUCCCCAAGGACCAAGAGCGCAGGAAGAAAUGGAUGGCAAUGGUCAGCCGUCAAAACUUACAAGUGACAGGGGUCAGCAACAGUCAAAAACUAUGUAAUUCCCAACAGUUUUCAUUCAUCGCCCUAAGCCGAAGAGGAGGAAAUCCCCUUCUGUGAGGGUGCCUCCAGAACCAAGUGCAACGGACCACACAUAUUGCGCCAAAUUAAACUUUGGUGUGAUCCAUGCAGCUAACAAUAUUCCCCAUUUCAUCUAAUUCAAGGAUAGACUACACUCCUAAUGAGAUUACAUAAUUCAGGGGUAAACGGUGAAGGAAUAACUUUUCCAGGACCAGCUGCUCCAGGGACCAGACUGCCAGGGACUGAUGGGGCGACUGUGGAGGACCUAAUAAGGCAACUAGAAAAGGAAAAAUUAAUGAGAAGGAGAGCAGAGAGGGCUCUUGUAAAACAAAAAAGAAUCAAUUUGGCACUAAGACAGAGAAACAAUUCAGUCAACAAGAAGUUAAAACAAAUGUUUAAUAGCGACCAAAUUAGAGCCCUUGGACAGGAAAAUAGACAAAUAUGUUGGGGGAAGGAGACAAUUAAAAAAGCCAUAUGGGUUCAAUUUGUGGUAAGAUGGCCGCCAGUGGUGACGUUCUAGACGCCACCGUCAGGCAUCUAGUGACUCGAUGAGGUAGUAUUGGAUGUCAUGACACAGCUUCUUGGAGCACACUGUAUGCAAUAUACAAUUGUACCACUAGAUGGGAGUAAUUUUUACACAGUGUCCCUUUAACUCUAUUCAUUUCAGAAAUAUAAAUUGAAUAAACACGCUUUCUCCCCAGACGUCAGUCCUGGUUGUGGUUGCAGUUUUAACCACUAGAUGGCAAUGUCUCUACACUGUAUGACUCAAGCGAAG
ensembl:lncRNA